UUCAGUCUUGCAAAUCCACAAGAGACCAAUCCAGCCCUCCUGGGGAUUCCUGGCUGUGCUGGUUAGGGCGAGAUUUAAUUAAAACUUCAUUUAAUUAACUCCAGACCUUUAAACCCUUCAUUUCCAGGGGUCUGGUUCCACCCAAUCCCAAUGUUCCCAAGAGCUUUUCCUGUGUUCUCCCAUGGUUCCAGAGCAUUUUUCUCUGUUCAUCCCAUAUUCUCCCAGUGUUCCAGAGUGUUUUUCCCUGCUCCUUUGAUUUCCUGGAGUUCUCAAGUGCUUUUUCCAUGCUCUCCCAAUAUUCCUGGGUGUUUUUCCCUCUCCUGAUAUUCCCGGGUAUUUUUCCCUCUCCCAGUAUUUCCAAGUGGUUUUCCCUCCCUCUCCCAAUAUUCCUGGGUAUUUUUCAUUCUCCUGGUAUUCCUAGGUGUUUUUCCCUCCCCCAAUAUUCCCAGGUAUUUUUCCCUUCCUCUCCCAGUAUUCCCAAGUGUUUUUCCUCUCCCAAUAUUGCCAGGUAUUUUUCCCUCUCCCAGUAUUUCCAAGUGGUUUUCCCUCCCUCUCCCAAUAUUCCUGGGUAUUUUUCAUUCUCCUGGUAUUCCUAGGUGUUUUUCCCUCCCCCAAUAUUCCCAGGUAUUUUUCCCUUCCUCUCCCAGUAUUCCCAAGUGUUUUUCCCUCCCAAUAUUCCCGUGUAUUUUUCCCUCUCCUGAUAUUCCCAGGUAUUUUUCCCUCUCCCAGUAUUCCCAAGUAUUUUUCCCUUCCUCUUCCAGUAUUCCCAAGUAUUUUUCCCUCCUGAUAUUCCUGGAUAUUUUUCCCUCUCCCAAUAGUCCCAGGUAUUUUUCCCUCUCCUGAUAUUCCCAAGUAUUUUUCCCUCCUGAUAUUCCUGGAUAUUUUUGACUCUCCCAGUAUUCCCAGGUUUUUCCCUCCCAAUAUUCCCAGGUUUUUUCCCUCCCAAUAUUCCUGGGUAUUUUCCCCUUCCUCUCCCGACAUUCCGGGUAUUUUUUCCCUUCCUCUCCCAAUAUUCCCAUGUAUUUUUCCCUCCUGAUAUUCCCAGGUACUUUUCCCUUCCUCUCCCGAUAUUCCCAG
rnacentral:lncRNA from 1 species